rnacentral:rRNA from 1 species
GAUGAACGCUGGCGGCGUGCCUAAUACAUGCAAGUCGAGCGAAGCGGGGACGGGUGAGUAACACGUGGAUAACCUCCUAUAAGACUGGGAUAACUUCGGGAAACCGGAGCUAAACCGGAUACUUAUAGAUGGAUCUGCGCUGCAUUAGCUAGUUGGUAAGGUAACGGCUUACCAAGGCAACGAUGAAUAGCCGACCUGAGAGGAUGACCAGCCAAACUGGAACUGAGAAACGGCCCAGACUCCUACGGGAGGCAGCAGUGGGGAAUAUUGCAAAAUGGGCGCAAGCCUGAUGCAGCCAGGCCGCGUGGAUGAAGAAGGCCUUCGGGUUGUAAAGUACUUUCAGCGGGGAGGCGUUACCCGCAGAAGAAGCACCGGCUAACUCCGUGCCAGCCGCCGCGGUAAUAC